AAAGGAAACUUGAAAUCUGUUUGGGAGGAAGCGAGCUGCGGAAAGUAGGAAGUGUAAGCUAUAGCCUUCUUUAUCAUCAAAUGUCCUUCCCCAUGACAGAAAAGCAGUUUUUACAUCCGAUUUACGAGGUAUUAUCGCUCACCGCGAUUUGACGCCAACGCCGACUUGGAGAUCCUUCGGAUACCGCGAGACAGCCGGAAAAGGCGAGAGCUUUGGGAGAAAAAAACAAAGGAAGAUGCCGUGCUCUUCGUCUUCGGGGUCGCAGGAGGACGAGGGCGUGGAUGCCUACCGCGAGGGACGCUACCAAGCGGUCAGAAUUGGGAACCAGUUCGCCGGCUGGCGCUACGUUGCGCAGAGGAAGCUAGGCUGGGGGCAUUUCUCCACCGUCUGCCUCGCCUAUGACACCCGAUCGCAGUAUGAAUUCCAAAAUUAUUGAAGACAAUAUUACACUUGGAAGGAUUGGAUGGUGACCUCAAGAGGACCCGAAGACCCAAAUUCUGGCUGCCACUAGACAAGCUACUAGUUGAGAAAUACAAGUUUCCUGAGGCUGAUGCCUGC